rnacentral:tRNA from 1 species
UAUGGCCAUAGGUUAACUGGUAGACUAGUCAUUUUCCACAUGAUUUGUGCCGAUUCGAGUUCGGCUGGCCAUAGC